rnacentral:rRNA from 1 species
AACGAACGCUGGCGGCAGGCCUAACACAUGCAAGUCGAGCGCCCUUUCGGGGGAGCGGCGGACGGGUGAGUAACGCGUGGGAAUAUGCCCUUCUCUACGGAAUAGCCUCGGGAAACUGAGAGUAAUACCGUAUACGCCCUGUGGGGGAAAGAUUUAUCGGGGAAGGAUUAGCCCGCGUUGGAUUAGGUAGUUGGGGGGGUAAUGGCCUACCAAGCCGACGAUCCAUAGCUGGUUUGAGAGGAUGAUCAGCCACACUGGGACUGAGACACGGCCCAGACUCCUACGGGAGGCAGCAGUGGGGAAUCUUAGACAAUGGGGGCAACCCUGAUCUAGCCAUGCCGCGUGAGUGAUGAAGGCCUUAGGGUUGUAAAGCUCUUUCAGCUGGGAAGAUAAUGACGGUACCAGCAGAAGAAGCCCCGGCUAACUCCGUG